rnacentral:rRNA from 1 species
GAUGAACGCUAGCGGCAGGCUUAACACAUGCAAGUCGAGGGGUAGCAGGAUUAAGCUUGCUUAAUUGCUGACGACCGGCGCACGGGUGCGUAACGCGUAUGCAACCUACCUUAUACUGGGGUAUAGCCCGGAGAAAUUCGGAUUAAUCCCCCAUAGUACUAAUGAAUCGCAUGGUUUAUUAGUUAAAGCAUUGCGGUAUAAGAUGGGCAUGCGUCCUAUUAGCUAGAUGGUGAGGUAACGGCUCACCAUGGCUACGAUAGGUAGGGGGCCUGAGAGGGUGGUCCCCCACACUGGUACUGAGACACGGACCAGACUCCUACGGGAGGCAGCAGUGAGGAAUAUUGGUCAAUGGGCGCAAGCCUGAACCAGCCAUGCCGCGUGCAGGAAGAAUGCCCUAUGGGUUGUAAACUGCUUUUAUUUGGGAAUAAACCUCUUUACGUGUAGAGAGCUGAAGGUACCAAAUGAAUAAGCACCGGCUAACUCCGUGCCAGCCGCCGCGGUAA